rnacentral:lncRNA from 1 species
GAAAGCAAAGGGCUGGAACGUCCCGGGCUGCGGAGCUCGCUGGGUUGGGAUGGACUCGUUCAGACCUGAGUGCUAGGACGCCGAAGGGGGCGGUGAGGCGUCCCGGCGAGGAGCUGGGGUCGUCUGGAGUUUAAAAGACAGGUGGCUCUCGGAGAUGUGCGGGCUGCAUGCCCACGCUUCACCGCUAGGGGAGAACCCAGAAGAGGAGAGAACUGCUGUGCGUCUGAAGUGAUGGCGGAGGGCUUGAAGUUCAAAGAUGUGGUCAUUUACUUCUCUCAAAAGGAGUGGGAAUGCUUGCACUCUGCUCA